CCCUUUCUCCUUCCGCCAUGAUUGCAAGUUUCCUGAGGCCUCUCCAGCCACUCUGAACUCUCUGAAGGCUGGAAGCGCAGAAUCAAGGUGAUGGCAGAGUCAUGCUUCCUCUGAGGUUCGAGAAAAUAAUCUGUCCCACACCUCUCUCCUAGCUUCUGAUGGCUUCUGGCAGUCCCUGGCAUGCCUUGGCUUGUAGAGCCUCACUCCAAUCUGUCUGUCUUCACAAGGCAUUCUCCCCUGUGUGCCACUGGGUCCACAUUUCCCUCUUCUUAAAAGGAUGCCAAUUGUAUUGGAGUGAGGGUCCACUCUAAUCCAGUGUGAACUCAUGUUAACCCUGAUCGUAUCUGCAAAGACCCUAUUUCCAAAUUAAAGUCACAUUCCCAGGUUCUAGAUGGACAUGCAUUUUGCGAGGACAGCAGUCAGUGGUACGGGAAAUGAUGCUUGCUCUCAAGGAGCCCACUGUCUGGUGGAAGGGAAGCAGACCUGUCAACAUAGAGGAGCGAUGUGGUGAUUGACAGAGGCUUUCAUGGUCUUUGAGCUAUUUUACAGCCCUGGAAGUUACAGAAAACUGGUAAUAACACAAUGAGGAAAGGGCGUGUGAGGCCACAGCAAGAGGACACACAAGCCAGGAAGUGAGCCCCCAUCAGACACUGGAACCUUGAUCUUGGACUUCCAGCCUCCAGAACUGUGAGAAAUAGAUAUUCCUUGUGUAAGCCACUAGCCUAUGGUGUUUUCUUACGGCAGGUGGAGCCGACUAUGAUCGGAGCAGACUAUGAGAGCUAUAUUUCAGGUUCUGUGAGAUUUUCUUUUAACCAAUUGUAAUAUCUUACUGGUUCCCCCAUGAAUUAAUGAACUAAAUACAAUUUUUGACAUAGUUUGAUUAUUUGCAUGAG